GUUUUUUAGAGUUGACUUUACAUUGCUCCUGGCUAGUUUUGCACACAGGCAGUGUCACUCUAGUCCUGCUGUUGGAAGAAAUUUUCAAGUGGAUUUUAUCUGCAGUGCAUUAAUGCAUGGCCUAAAUUCCUGCGGAGGCAUAAGAUAACCAGUCUGGACAUGUCUUCCCAAUCAUAACUGGAGCCAGGCCGCUGAUGCUUCAGCUUUACUCAGCGUAGAUAAAUGGCUUUUCAGAAAAUGCUUUUCUAGUUAAACCCCAGGACUUGUGUCUCAGAGAGCCACAAGUUCAGAUGGCUUGUAAUUAGCCCAUAUUCACCAUGCCGAGAUAACGCACACAAAUGGGGAUUUAUUAGUAAGGGUAGGUUUAACUCUAAUCUCCUUUUAUAACAAAAGGUUCUGUAUUUUAAGGUUCAUGGGAUCACUUAGAAUCAGUCUAAUUUUCAAAAGUGCAAAAUAGUAAUGCCUUUCAAAAUCAGGAAAUAUGAAAUGUGAUCCCAGUAAUGUGAAAAGCAUCUGAAGCUGUAUUGCAUGGGAAACUGGAGGGUAUUAUGCGAUUUAAUGUGGAUUAGCAUACAUAAAUGAUUUCAAUUAAAAAUUAUUCAGCUCUAGAACUGAAGAGUUGAUCACAGCUGCAUGAAAAAUACCCAUUAAUCACCUAAUGCUUUAUGCAAAUGGCUGUAUUUGACUUUCAUUUGGGUUUGCCAUUAGCACAUGGAACCAGGAGAUUGAUAGCAGGUAAAAUUUAAUGGAUACAGAAAUUAGAUAUUUAAAUUAAAUUUGGGCUAAUUUACAGUACUUUUAUUCAUUACUACAAGUUUUCUUGCAAUCUGAAGACCCCCAUCACGUGGCAAAGAAUAGAGAGAAGAAAGAGACUGCUUGACAGCUUCUCAAGGAUGACAGACAUCGGGAAGAGCUUGGAAGAUCCGGGAUGGCCUGGGCUCAACAACUCUCUGCUUCAAUGAACAUUUUCCAAAUCUUCCCAAGGCCAUUAUGGAAAGGAACCAAACCAAAUGCCUUCUGCACCUGAUGAGGAGGAAAUGGAAUCAAUUUUCUUCUGCCUCCAACUUUGAACGUUGAAAAGCAAACGCAGAAGGCAGAUCCGACAGGGGUCUGACUGUGUGAGAAGCUCAACAGUGUUGUAUUUCAGGAGCUUCUGCUGAGAUGGAAUUGCUUCGUAAUUUUAAAUUCUUACAAGGUGCAGAUAAAUGCAUCUGUUGUG
rnacentral:lncRNA from 1 species